rnacentral:rRNA from 1 species
CCUACGGGAGGCAGCAGUAGGGAAUUUUCCGCAAUGGGCGAAAGCCUGACGGAGCAAUACCGCGUGAGGGAUGAAUGCCUAUGGGUUGUAAACCUCUUUUUUCAGGGAGGAAUAAAUGACGUGUACCUGAAGAAUAAGCAUCGGCUAACUCCGUGCCAGCAGCCGCGGUAAGACGGAGGAUGCAAGUGUUAUCCGGAAUCACUGGGCGUAAAGCGUCUGUAGGUGGCUUAAUAAGUCAACUGUUAAAUCUUGAAGCUCAACUUCAAAAUCGCAGUCGAAACUAUUAGACUAGAGUAUAGUAGAGGUAAAGGGAAUUUCCAGUGGAGCGGUGAAAUGCGUAGAGAUUGGAAAGAACACCGAUGGCGAAGGCACUUUACUGGGCUAUUACUGACACUCAGAGACGAAAGCUAGGGUAGCAAAUGGGAUUAGAUACCCGUGUAGUC